GACGAACGCUGGCGGCGUGCUUAACACAUGCAAGUCGAACGGAAAGGCCCUGCUUUUGUGGGGUGCUCGAGUGGCGAACGGGUGAGUAACACGUGAGUAACCUGCCCUUGACUUUGGGAUAACUUCAGGAAACUGGGGCUAAUACCGGAUAGGAGCUCCUGCUGCAUGGUGGGGGUUGGAAAGUUUCGGCGUUUGGGGUUGGUCUCGCGGCUUAUCAGCUUGUUGGUGGGGUAGUGGCUACCAAGGCUUUGACGGGUAGCCGGCCCGAGAGGGCGACCGGCCACAAUGGGACUGAGAGACGGCCCAGACUCCUACGGGAGGCAGCAGUGGGGAAUAUUGCACAAUGGGCGGAAGCCUGAUGCAGCAACGCCGCGUGCGGGAUGACGGCCUUCGGGUUGUAAACCGCUUUCGCAGGUGACGAAGCGUGAGUGACGGUAAUGGGUAAAGAAGCACCGGCUAACUACGUG
rnacentral:rRNA from 1 species